rnacentral:misc_RNA from 1 species
GAAAUGCGAUAAUUAAUGUGAAUUGCAGAAUUCAGUGAAUCAUCGAGUCUUUGAACGCACAUUGCGCCCCCUGGUAUUCCGGGGGGCAUGCCUGUCCGAGCGUCAUUGCUGCCCUCAAGCACGGCUUGUGUGUUGGGCUUCCGUCCCUGGCAACGGGGACGGGCCCAAAAGGCAGUGGCGGCACCAUGUCUGGUCCUCGAGCGUAUGGGGCUUUGUCACCCGCUCCCGUAGGUCCAGCUGGCAGCUAGCCUCGGAACCAAUCUUUUUAACCAGGUUGACCUCGGAUCAGGUAGGGAUACCCGCUGAACUUAAGC